rnacentral:rRNA from 7 species
AAAUUGAAGAGUUUGAUCAUGGCUCAGAUUGAACGCUGGCGGCAGGCCUAACACAUGCAAGUCGAACGGUAACAGAAAGCAGCUUGCUGCUUUGCUGACGAGUGGCGGACGGGUGAGUAAUGUCUGGGAAACUGCCUGAUGGAGGGGGAUAACUACUGGAAACGGUAGCUAAUACCGCAUAACGUCGCAAGACCAAAGAGGGGGACCUUCGGGCCUCUUGCCAUCGGAUGUGCCCAGAUGGGAUUAGCUUGUUGGUGGGGUAACGGCUCACCAAGGCGACGAUCCCUAGCUGGUCUGAGAGGAUGACCAGCCACACUGGAACUGAGACACGGUCCAGACUCCUACGGGAGGCAGCAGUGGGGAAUAUUGCACAAUGGGCGCAAGCCUGAUGCAGCCAUGCCGCGUGUAUGAAGAAGGCCUUCGGGUUGUAAAGUACUUUCAGCGGGGAGGAAGGGAGUAAAGUUAAUACCUUUGCUCAUUGACGUUACCCGCAGAAGAAGCACCGGCUAACUCCGUGCCAGCAGCCGCGGUAAUACGGAGGGUGCAAGCGUUAAUCGGAAUUACUGGGCGUAAAGCGCACGCAGGCGGUUUGUUAAGUCAGAUGUGAAAUCCCCGGGCUCAACCUGGGAACUGCAUCUGAUACUGGCAAGCUUGAGUCUCGUAGAGGGGGGUAGAAUUCCAGGUGUAGCGGUGAAAUGCGUAGAGAUCUGGAGGAAUACCGGUGGCGAAGGCGGCCCCCUGGACGAAGACUGACGCUCAGGUGCGAAAGCGUGGGGAGCAAACAGGAUUAGAUACCCUGGUAGUCCACGCCGUAAACGAUGUCGACUUGGAGGUUGUGCCCUUGAGGCGUGGCUUCCGGAGCUAACGCGUUAAGUCGACCGCCUGGGGAGUACGGCCGCAAGGUUAAAACUCAAAUGAAUUGACGGGGGCCCGCACAAGCGGUGGAGCAUGUGGUUUAAUUCGAUGCAACGCGAAGAACCUUACCUGGUCUUGACAUCCACGGAAGUUUUCAGAGAUGAGAAUGUGCCUUCGGGAACCGUGAGACAGGUGCUGCAUGGCUGUCGUCAGCUCGUGUUGUGAAAUGUUGGGUUAAGUCCCGCAACGAGCGCAACCCUUAUCCUUUGUUGCCAGCGGUCCGGCCGGGAACUCAAAGGAGACUGCCAGUGAUAAACUGGAGGAAGGUGGGGAUGACGUCAAGUCAUCAUGGCCCUUACGACCAGGGCUACACACGUGCUACAAUGGCGCAUACAAAGAGAAGCGACCUCGCGAGAGCAAGCGGACCUCAUAAAGUGCGUCGUAGUCCGGAUUGGAGUCUGCAACUCGACUCCAUGAAGUCGGAAUCGCUAGUAAUCGUGGAUCAGAAUGCCACGGUGAAUACGUUCCCGGGCCUUGUACACACCGCCCGUCACACCAUGGGAGUGGGUUGCAAAAGAAGUAGGUAGCUUAACCUUCGGGAGGGCGCUUACCACUUUGUGAUUCAUGACUGGGGUGAAGUCGUAACAAGGUAACCGUAGGGGAACCUGCGGUUGGAUCACCUCCUUACCUUAAAGAAGC